UACGAAGGGGGCUAGCGUUGCUCGGAAUCACUGGGCGUAAAGGGUGCGUAGGCGGGUCUUUUAAGUCAGGGGUGAAAUCCUGGAGCUCAACUCCAGAACUGCCUUCGAUACUGGCAAUCUCGAGUCCGGAAGAGGUAAGUGGAACUCCUAGUGUAGAGGUGGAAUUCGUAGAUAUUAGGAAGAACACCAGUGGCGAAGGCGGCUUACUGGUCCGGUACUGACGCUGAGGUGCGAAAGCGUGGGGAGCAAACAGG
rnacentral:rRNA from 1 species